rnacentral:misc_RNA from 1 species
GUGAUUAAAUCGAGCGUGUCUCCAUUGACCGCUCACCCUUCUCACCAUCCACAUACACCUGUGCACUGUUUAGCCUGAGCCGGUUUUCCGGUCCAGGUUAUCAUUUCAUACAAACUCUAGUCUUAUGAAUGUAAACGUUUUAAUAACAUAAUA